rnacentral:rRNA from 1 species
UACAGAGGUCUCAAGCGUUGUUCGGAUUCAUUGGGCGUAAAGGGUGUGUAGGUGGCGCGCUAAGUCGGGUGUGAAAUUUCGGAGCUUAACUCCGAAACUGCAUUCGAUACUGGCGUGCUUGAGGACUGGAGAGGAGACUGGAAUUUACGGUGUAGCAGUGAAAUGCGUAGAUAUCAGGAGGAACACCGGUGGCGAAGGCGCACAUCUGGCCCGAUACUGACGCUGAGGCGCGAAAGCUAGGGGAGCAAACGGG